rnacentral:rRNA from 1 species
UAGGGAAUCUUCCGCAAUGGACGCAAGUCUGACGGAGCAACGCCGCGUGAGUGAAGAAGGAUUUCGGUUCGUAAAACUCUGUUGUUAGAGAAGAACAGCGCAUAGAGUAACUGUUAUGCGUGUGACGGUAUCUAACCAGAAAGCCACGGCUAACUACGUGCCAGCAGCCGCGGUAAUACGUAGGUGGCAAGCGUUGUCCGGAUUUAUUGGGCGUAAAGCGAGCGCAGGCGGUCAAUUAAGUCUGAUGUGAAAGCCCCCGGCUCAACCGGGGAGGGUCCUUGGAAACUGGUUAACUUGAGUGCAGAAGAGGAGAGUGGAAUUCCAUGUGUAGCGGUGAAACGCGUAGAUAUAUGGAGGAACCCCAGUGGGGAAGGCGACUCUCUGGUCUGUAACUGACGCUGAGGUUCGAAAGCGUGGGUAGCAAACAGG